UAUCGUAUGCAUAUGCAUAAAUAAAGCCCAUAUGUGUGUGGGUGUGUGUGUGUGUGUGUGUAUGAGUGGGUGUAUGGGCGUCUCAAUCACUGUGAAGAGGCUUAGUGCGCACCCUGGGGAAAUCGCUUAAGCCGUUCAUAAUGAGUAUUAUGACUGCGCCUGUCUGCCUGGCUGGUUGAACGCGGAGUCUUUGGCAACAAAAAUGGCAUUGAAAUUCGCCAAAAACAACAAUCAUAACCGGAGGCAGGCAUAAAAUGAAUUAUUUUCAUAGCGAGCAGGAAAAGUGCAUUCAGACAAGGACCUCCGCUAACUAAGAGUAUUUUCGGCUAACAAUAAACAUUUCCAGCCGUCCAAAAAUACACCAGAUAUUUUUAAACUUCUUAUAAUUUUGUCAAGGAGAUAGUAGAUGGAGCGAACAACCGUUGCGGGCGGCGUAUGUGGAUCAUUAUAUUAUAUAGCUGCCAUAUUAAUAAUCUCUCAAAAAUUGAGUUAUGGUAUGAACAACUUAUGUUUGCCUAUCAUCCAUACAUCCAUAACAUCCCAACAUCGAUUAUAACAUUCAACUUGUGUUUGCGGGGCAACAACAGCUUAUAUCAAUCCGAGCAGAGCUCAUGCCACAGUACAAACAAAAUGCUUAUCGAACGGAAUUUUUAUCGCAGUUUAAGUGUCAUGGCAGCAGGAAGCACCGCAGGAUAACAGAAUGGAGAAAGAGAUAGAUAUUGAUUGAGACAGAGAGAGAGAGAGAGAGAGUGAGAGAGCGAGGGAGAGAGGGCUGGCGAUUCUCUGCAAUUUGUAGGUACAAUACACAACCCAUAUUUGUCGAAUGGUUCUUCAAUGCUUUUAGCCAGCAAUUGCGCAAUUUGUCAUGCAAUCGAUGCGAAGCCAAAAAAGUGUUGAGUGAAAAUAAGAAAAGAUGGAAACUGUGUGGAAAAGUCAGCCAGACAGAGCCAAGUGCAAUGGGCAAGGAACUACAUGAAGGAACUGGAGCUGGAGCUGGAGCAGCAGUUGCUAUGCGAACGCAACUCAAUUGCGUCGCUGUUAAAUCGUGUGGAAGCUGAUAUGAUUAUGCGUGCCCAUGGCUACCAGCCAUGGCCAACGGGCCCAGCCGCUGGCCGUGGGGCAUGCAACAUGCGGCAAGUGCAGCAAUUAGUGCCAAAGAGAUAUUCGUCUGUGCAUUCCAGCCCAUACUCCGGCUCACUUUAAGGCUACUCAUCAACAAUCAACAAUCGCAUUAUGUGAUUUGAAAAACCUAAGCGCUCUACUUAGUGCCUGGGAAAUGGAUGCUGGAAAACCUUAAACCAAAGGCACAAACAUUAAGAAGAUUAAUUCGCAAAAGCUGUUGUUGUUAUUUUCCCCCCUUUCUCUCUCUCUCACUCUCUGUCUGAAAUCUCAGAUAACGUUAUGCAUCAUUGUGUCAAGGAAUUGACAAAUCUUUGCCCAAGCCGCAAAAGAAAAGAAACAGGAAAAAAGGCCCAUUCUAACAUCGAAGAUUGAAUAUCCUUUUGAUCACAUGGCAUAGAAGUGAUUUAUACCCUUGUUAAAUUCGUUUGUUGCCAUAUCAGCCAGAUAAUAUACUUGUCCAAUUUGCUCCGAAAA